AGCCAGACUCCUACGGGAGGCAGCAGUGAGGAAUAUUGGUCAAUGGGCGGAAGCCUGAACCAGCCAAGUCGCGUGAGGGAAGGAGGCCCUGCGGGUCGCAGACCUCUUUGGACGGGGAGCAAGGCCGCCGACGUGUCGGCGGAAGGAGAGUACCCGUAGAACAAGCAUCGGCUAACUCCGUGCCAGCAGCCGCGGUAAUACGGAGGAUGCGAGCGUUAUCCGGAUUUAUUGGGUUUAAAGGGCGUGUAGCCGGGCUGACAAGUCAGAUGUGAAAUUCCGGGGCUCAACCCCGGACCUGCAUUUGAAACUGUUGGUCUUGAGUAUCGGAGAGGCAGGCGGAAUUCCUAGUGUAGCGGUGAAAUGCGUAGAUAUUAGGAGGAACACCAGUGGCGAAGGCGGCUUACUGGACUGAGACUGACGUUGAGGCUCGAAAGCGUGGGGAGCAAACAGGAUUAGAUACCCCGGUAAG
rnacentral:rRNA from 1 species